GGGGAUUUAGCUCAGCGGCAUAAGCACCUGCCUUGCAAGCAGGCGGUCGUGGGUUCGAUUCCCGGUACCG
rnacentral:tRNA from 1 species